UACGAAGGGGGCUAGCGUUGUUCGGAUUUACUGGGCGUAAAGCGCACGUAGGCGGAUCGAUCAGUCAGGGGUGAAAUCCCAGGGCUCAACCCUGGAACUGCCUUUGAUACUGACGGUCUGGAGAUCGGGAGAGGUUGGUGGAAUUCCCAGUGUAGCGGUGAAAUGCGUAGAUAUCGGGAGGAACACCAGUGGCGAAGGCGGCUUCCUGGCCUGUUCUUGACGCUGAGGCGCGAAAGCUAGGGGAGCAAACGGGG
rnacentral:rRNA from 1 species